UACGGGGGGUGCGAGCGUUGUCCGGAAUCACUGGGCGUAAAGCGCGUGUAGGCGGUCCGGUAAGUCCGCUGUGAAAGUCGAGGGCUCAACCUCGAAUGCCGGUGGAUACUGUCGGGCUUGAGUUCGGCAGGGGAGACUGGAAUUCCUGGUGUAGCGGUGAAAUGCGCAGAUAUCAGGAGGAACACCGGUGGCGAAGGCGGCUCGCUGGGCCAGUUCUGACACUCAUCCGCGAAAGCGUGGGGGAGCAAACAGG
rnacentral:rRNA from 1 species